rnacentral:rRNA from 1 species
UACAGAGGGGGCAAGCGUUGUCCGGAUUUAUUGGGCGUAAAGAGCGUGUAGGCGGCCUGACAGGUCUGCUGUGAAAACUCGAGGCUCAACCUCGAGAUGUCGGCGGAAACCGUCUGGCUAGAGUCCGGAAGAGGAGAGUGGAAUUCCUGGUGUAGCGGUGAAAUGCGCAGAUAUCAGGAGGAACACCAAUUGCGAAGGCAGCUCGCUGGGACGUGACUGACGCUGAGACGCGAAAGCGUGGGGAGCAAACAGG